AUUGAACGCUGGCGGCAUGCUUUACACAUGCAAGUCGAACGGUAACAGGCCUUCGGGUGCUGACGAGUGGCGAACGGGUGAGUAAUGCAUCGGAACGUACCCAGAGGUGGGGGAUAACGCAGCGAAAGCUGUGCUAAUACUGCAUGUGAUCUGAGGAUGAAAGCGGGGGACCGAGCAGCAAUGUUUGGCCUCGCGCCUUUGGAGCGGCCGAUGUCGGAUUAGCUAGUUGGUGGGGUAAAGGCCUACCAAGGCGACGAUCCGUAGCUGGUCUGAGAGGACGACCAGCCGCACUGGGACUGAGACGCGGCCCAGACUCCUCCGGGAGGCAGCAGGGGGGAAUUUUGGACGAUGGGCGCAAGCCUGAUCCUGCAAGGCCGCGUGCGUGAAGAAGGCCUUCGGGUUGUAAGCCGCUUUUGGCAGGAACGAAUCGAUGUACGCUAAUACCGAGCGCUAAUGACGGUACCUGCAGAAUAAGCACCGGCUAACUACGUG
rnacentral:rRNA from 1 species